UUGGGCUUCUUGGAGCACUAGAUCACACAUGACAACUACUUUCCCACAUUGCCCAAACACUCUUUCUUCAUACCAACACUUUAUUGCCAUCUUUCUAUCUUCUAUUUUUUCCUAUACUAUAAGUGAGAAUAACCAGGCAGCUCAUGGUCAACAUGUCUGCCUGGCCCAAAAAUUAUCUCAUGACCUAAAUUUACAUCCCAACACGUGUAGCCCAAUUUUGAUAGCUGUCAACUCAUCGUUUGAUUUCUCUUACUAACAUCCGACACUUGUGAAAAGCUUCAUCUGCAAAACCCUCUUCUUCAAACGCCUCCCUCUUCGCUUCAUAUCUCUGUUGUCUUGCUCCUCGCCUCUGUCUACUGGUAUUUUCUACUGGUUUUGUAGGAAUAAUGGGUUCUGAACAAAAAAACAAACAUGUUUGCUCCGCAAAAUCGGAAGCUGAGAUGAAACUUAGGCGACAUGAAACAUACAGACUAAUAUCUGCAGAAAAAAAGGAAGCACUGUUACAACAGCGACGAACAAAAAGACGAGUUAAAAAGGAGUGGUCUUUCUGAGAAUGUUGCUUUUCCUAGCACUACUGCAGCUGCAACUGAGUUUCAGCAACAAAAUGUUCCUCUUAGGGGCUCUUCUUUUGUUUCAAGAACAGGUUAGAACACAUCCUUUGUAAUUUUAUUUUUUGUAGAAAUAUCCCUUGAUACUCUUUGCAUGUGAGUAUAAUUAAAUGAUGCUAAGUUUGUGUUGUGUUUUUCUACUAGCCAACGAGGGUCGCGUUGAUGCUUUACCUGUUACAUUUGACAUGCAAAAGAGUAUAACUUGUCCCUUCUACUCCUUUGAAGUAGGCAAGUAUCGAGGAUGCAACGUUGACUUUUAGACAAUGUCUUUAUUUAUUGCUAAUUUAUUACUUUUUGGCGUUGGGCUCCACGUCACGUGCAUCCAAUGAAAACAGUAGUAUGAGCUCAACAAUGGUUGGAAAAAAAGGUUUGCACCAAUUUUUUAUUAUGAUAGUGUUGUAUAUUACCUAAUUGGUAAUUUUAUGCUAAUGAUACCUAAAUAUACAGGUUAUAACUCAAAAAAAAGUGUUGUACAUACGUAGGACAGUUACAAUCUGAUUAUAUUCCCUUGAAAACUGUUCCUAAUUGUAAAUUUUGUGGUGCAAAAAAAAUUUGAAUAUGAA